UUACCGUGUUUGUAAUAGCUUGGAGAAAAUUGCAUUUUUCGUCCCUAAAUUAUACGAUAGUUGUAGUAUUCGUCCUUAAUUGUUGGUUAUGCUCACUUUUCAUCCCUAAUUUAUUAUUAACGUUACACUU